CACGUAGGGUGCGAGCGUUGUCCGGAAUUAUUGGGCGUAAAGAGCUCGUAGGCGGUGUGUCGCGUCGGCCGUGAAAACCUGCAGCUUAACUGUGGGCUUGCGGUCGAUACGGGCAUCACUGGAGUUCGGCAGGGGAGACUGGAAUUCCUGGUGUAGCGGUGAAAUGCGCAGAUAUCAGGAGGAACACCGGUGGCGAAAGCGACUUCCUGGACCAAUACUGACGCUCGAUGAUGCGAAAGCGUGGGGAGCAACAGG
rnacentral:rRNA from 1 species